rnacentral:rRNA from 1 species
UACGGGGGGAGCAAGCGUUGUUCGGAUUUACUGGGCGUAAAGGGCGCGUAGGCGGCCACCGCAAGUCGACUGUGAAAUCCCCGGGCUUAACCUGGGAACUGCAUUUGUGACUGCAUCGCUGGAGUGCGGCAGAGGGGGAUGGAAUUCCGCGUGUAGCAGUGAAAUGCGUAGAUAUGCGGAGGAACACCGAUGGCGAAGGCAAUCCCCUGGGCCUGCACUGACGCUCAUGCACGAAAGCGUGGGGAGCAAACAGG